rnacentral:rRNA from 1 species
AUACGUAGGGGGCGAGCGUUGUCCGGAAUGAUUGGGCGUAAAGGGCGCGUAGGCGGCCCGGUAAGUCUGGAGUGAAAGUCCUGUUUUUAAGAUGGGAAUUGCUUUGGAUACUGAUCAGCUUGAGUGCGGAAGAGGUAAGUGGAAUUCCCAGUGUAGCGGUGAAAUGCGUAGAGAUUGGGAGGAACACCAGUGGCGAAGGCGACUUACUGGGCCGUAACUGACGCUGAGGCGCGAAAGCGUGGGGAGCGAACAGGAUUAGAUACCCUGGUAGUCCACGCGGUAAACGAUGAAUGCUAGGUGUUGCGGGUAUCGACCCCUGCAGUGCCGGAGUAAACACAAUAAGCAUUCCGCCUGGGGAGUACGGCCGCAAGGUUGAAACUCAAAGGAAUUGACGGGG